rnacentral:pre_miRNA from 1 species
UAAAUAACAAAAGAGCUUCCUUAAGUCCAUUCACAUGUUGUAAUAUAUAUGAUCCAACCAGUUUCGGACUCAUUCAUUCAUUUACCAAGUAGUUAAAAAAAGACUGAACUUGUUAAAUGAGCGAAUGAUAUCGAAGACUUAUUAGAUCUUAGGUUCAUUGCGAUUGGACUGAAGGGAGCUCCCUUUUUUUUCUUG